rnacentral:misc_RNA from 1 species
GAUGAAGAACGCAGCGAAUUGCGAUAAGUAAUGUGAAUUGCAGAUUUUCAGUGAAUCAUCGAAUCUUUGAACGCACAUUGCGCCCCUUGGUAUCCCGAGGGGCAUGCCUGUUCGAGCGUCAUUUCACCACUCAAGCCUGGCUUGGUGUUGGGCGACGUCCCCUUUGGGGACGCGCCUCGAAACGCUCGGCGGCGUGGCACCGGCUUUAAGCGUAGCAGAAUCUUUCGCUUUGGAAGUCGGGGCCCCGUCUGCCGGAAGACCUACUCGCAAGGUUGAUCUCGGAUCAGGCAGGGAUACCCGCUGAACUUAAGCAUAUCAAUAAGCGGAGGA